AGAGAGAGAGAGAGAGAGAGCUACACUACUUCUACUAUUUCUGAUAUUCAUUGCCAAGUAUAAGAAAACACGCUCGGUCGAUUCUUACUAUGUCUAUGGUCUAUUACUAUAAUGUUAACAGCAUCCUUUCCGUGUACACGGUACAUUCUUUUUGUUUCAUUCGUUUCGCAUAAUUUUUAUCAGUAGUAAAAAAGCAUUAUGCGCUAGAGAAUCUUGUUAUUUCCUUCCAUUUUCAAACCAUUGCUAAACAGUUAUAUUUAUUUUAUUGCAAUUCAAAUUACUUUACUUUAAUAAAUGUGUACCGAAGUAUCAUCUUUUCAAGCAUACACGUACUUGAUUAGAUUAUGCUGAAUUAGCGCAUAUUAGAUUGAAAUAAACAACAUCUGUUAGAGAAUCCGCACGGACUUUUUCAGUCAACUCAAUAUAAUUUGUAUAAUAUAUAUAUUAAUGUAAGAAAGAAAAUUAAUACAAUAUUAUCACGAUUUUACACUCGAAAUUAGCUUAACAGUCUAUUGAUAAUCAGUGAUCUGAUUGUGCCAGGCUGUAAAUUCAUGGCGUCGUGUCACAGUCACUGGUAGUGGAUAAAUCGCAUCAAUCGAUCGAUCCACAUGUCGUUCGAUCAUGCCACCAUGUUUAGAGCUAAAAUUUUAUUAAAGAUUUUAGAAUUUUUAUUAGAAAAUUCAGAAUUUUAUUAUCUACUUGUUUUUUUACGCGACGUUAUGAUACGUAGCUCGCAAUUAACUUACAUCCGUAAAUAAACUAUAAUGUUAUACAAUUUGCCAUUUGAUCACUCGAUUUCUAAUCACGUGAUGCUCGUCAUUCGAGCGGUAUGAUUAACGCGUUAUGUCACGCACGUCUGUAUCAUCUCUAAUUGCAUCUCUAAUAUGACACUUGGAAUGCUGUUUAGCUGUGUAUUGCUGCGUGCACGAGAAACUUUGAAGGCUCCAUUCGUACUUGCAUAUCACGUUAAAACUUAACGUCUUAGUAUAAUCGACCCUUUAAACCGUCGCACGACAUGAGUUAUAUCAAACAAAACAUAAGGUACAAUGUUCUUUUAUCUAUGUUAAAGUUGAUAUAUUGAUUGUGCUAUACACAAGUUUAAGUAUAGAAGCAAGGUCAUAAUCGAAUGGAGCUUAGUCAUUCCUCGUUAUGUUACCUGAAAUCAAUCAAAAUGUAUCUUCUAUAGUUGUUCGAAUUUCAAAAAACAGCUUUAGGGUUUCAUUCCUAAGACAUUAAACAUUCAAAAUAUGUAAAAAAAAAUCAAUUUUGUCACUCCGAAAAAGGUAUAUGCCUCCUUAAUGUAAUUAAGAAUUGGACGAAGAUUUAUUUCCAUUAAAAAAGGUUUUUUCCUAAAAUGUUUGCGGAAGAUACAAAGGCUGCAAAACGCUUUACGCUUUGACUCAGCAAUGGGUACAGCGCUUUUGCAUGUAAAAAGAAAACACUGUCACACACAGAACAGCACAAGGCAGCUGCGUUCUGCUAAACGCAGCAACAUAAAACCACGAUAUUGACUUCAUCGCAUUUAGCAAUUUCGCAACGAUGUAUCGAAAUAGAUAUCGAUAUUUUUUUUGAAAUUUUGAAAGAAAAUAGAGAAAAAGAAGCAAAAGGAAAACAUAGGAUUUACAUAUCUGUAUUUAUGAAGGAAAACAAAUACAAAUUCAGCAUAUAGUUUUUAAAUCAAUCCAUUUCAGAAAUUAAGAACUCGACGCAGAUCAAUCAAAAUUGUGGUAAAUAGUAUAGCGAUGUAUAUGAUUAGUUUCUUAUUAAGAUUUCCAGUACACGUUAAUGGGCAAGUGCGAAUGGCGUCAGAAAUCACACGGACGAUUAUCAAGCAACGGAUUUAGCAUCAGCCCUGGCCUCGGCCCUGCUGUCGGCGUUACCAUCGGCCCUAGCUUCGGCCGUAGCUUCUGCUACGGAUGUGGCUGCUGUCGGAUGCACCAAAAUUUCCAGUUCGCGUCUCAGCGCCACAUUCAAUGCCGACUCACUGACGUUUUCCGCGGCGUCAGCUGCCGUUUCUGCAACUUUGGCUGCGAUAUCUGUCUCCUUGUCAACAAUCUCUGCCACACCGCGGGCCACCUUCUCUGCAAUGUCUCCAGGUGCUGUUAAGGCUGUCUCCGCGAGAUCUGGCAGGGGUUGAGCAUUCACUGCGCAUACAGCUACCUGGCAUUGUGAAACAAUAUGAUAUCCUGGUUGCACUCGCUCCCCAGCUCCUGCUCGGACUCUUAAGAGGCGUUUGAGGGAAAACAUCGACCGCGCAUCGGUUAUAUACGUAAACCGGCUGCGAUCCUGAGUAACGCAAUUAAAACUGCUCUCACAUGGCAGUUUGCGAUAUAUGCAGAUUCGUUGUAGAGCGAGAGCCGUCUUCUUCUCGGUAAAGAUCCGCCGCCGGAUUGUUGUGAGUCAUCUUUGUAAACGAAUCUUUGUGAACGAAAAAGGCUCAAAACACUGCCCUUCUCUUUUUGUAAUCUAAGCUGGAUUCGAGUGAAAGCACUUAAAAGGAAAAAAGGGCAUCGUGGGUAACAAAUUUUCGGCUGCUCCUUGUUCUACGAAAUGGUGAUCUAAGAACAUUGCAGCCAUUGUGUUACGUACACAAUGUGAUAUUAAUAACAUAAAAUCAAUUUCUAGUAUUAAUUACGAGCAGAAAAAAUAAUAAGCGCUGAUAGUUGUUGAUUUAUUCAACAACAUUUUUAACAAUGAUAUUUUUAAUUUAGUACUCAAAGUAUUAAUAUUUAUAUUAUUAUUUUUAUUUAUUUAUAUU